AAUGGCCAUGGGGAGCUCCUUUUGGUCCAAUACAGAGGGCUGAGGUGUGGCUAGAGCUGUCAUCUCAUGCAUUCGGCUACCCCUUAAUAUUUCUAAUUAACCCUCCUGCUCCUGCUGUGCCUGUGUUGCACAAUUAUUCUUAUGAAAAUGUUAAGGUUUAGCCUGGUGCAUGGUGUGGGAGCAACUCCUUCCGCGCACUUAGCCCACCCAUUGGACUGAAGGGAGCUCCCGCAUCACAUCAC
rfam:Prunus persica cultivar Lovell chromosome G5, whole genome shotgun sequence.